UACGGGGGGGGCAAGCGUUGUUCGGAAUUACUGGGCGUAAGGGCGCGUAGGCGGCCUGCUAAGUCACACGUGAAAUCCCCGGGCUCAACCUGGGAACUGCAUUUGUGACUGCAUGGCUAGAGUACGGUAGAGGGGGAUGGAAUUCCGCGUGUAGCAGUGAAAUGCGUAGAUAUGCGGAGGAACACCGAUGGCGAAGGCAAUCCCCUGGACCUGUACUGACGCUCAUGCACGAAAGCGUGGGGAGCAAACAGG
rnacentral:rRNA from 1 species